rnacentral:rRNA from 1 species
GACGAACGCUGGCGGCGUGCUUAACACAUGCAAGUCGAGCGGUAAGGCCCUUUCGGGGGUACACGAGCGGCGAACGGGUGAGUAACACGUGGGUGACCUGCCUCUAGCUCUGGGAUAAGCCCGGGAAACUGGGUCUAAUACUGGAUAUGACUCCAUGACGCAUGUUGUGGGGUGGAAAGCCUUGUGCGGCUAGAGAUGGGCCCGCGGCCUAUCAGCUUGUUGGUGGGGUGAUGGCCUACCAAGGCGACGACGGGUAGCCGGCCUGAGAGGGCGACCGGCCACACUGGGACUGAGACACGGCCCAGACUCCUACGGGAGGCAGCAGUGGGGAAUCUUGGACAAUGGGCGCAAGCCUGAUCCAGCCAUGCCGCGUGAGUGAAGAAGGCCUCGGUUGUAAG